rnacentral:rRNA from 1 species
CCUACGGGGGGCAGCAGUGGGGGAUAUUGCACAAUGGGGGGAACCCUGAUGCAGCGACGCCGCGUGGGUGAAGAAGUAUUUCGGUAUGUAAAGCCCUAUCGGCAGGGAAGAAAUUGGACGGUACCUGACCAAGAAGCCCCGGCUAAAUACGUGCCAGCAGCCGCGGUAAUACGUAUGGGGCAAGCGUUAUCCGGAUUUACUGGGUGUAAAGGGAGCGUAGGCGGCAGGGCAAGCCUGAUGUGAAAGCCCGGGGCCCAACCCCGGGAC